rnacentral:lncRNA from 1 species
AAAAAAAAAGAAAAAGAAAAAGGUUAGAGCUAGGUAGAGAUCAAGCUAGGGUUUGCAUAAAACUGUUUUGUGGAUUGAUGGUAUUUAUUAUCAAUUAUUUAGGUAACUGUUGGUAUAUUGAUGAAUGGUGACUAUAGAUGUUUAAUGUCAAAAUUACAGAGAAGAAGAAGAGCGUAAGACAUAUUCUGAUGAUGAGUAUUCGUUGUAAGUGCACUCAUACAUACAUGCAUUGACACCUAUUUAAAGGAUUUAGGGUUUAGGAGUGACCUUUCUUUGUUGCCUCGAUGGCUUUUUUCUUCUCCUUUUCUUUACCAGUCUUCUGCUUCACUUUUGUUGUUUUUAUUGUCUUUCUCUCUAGGUUUAGUUGCUAAGCCACUUGUGAGAUUACUGAAGACAUUGUGAGAAUAAUGGUUGUUUAAGGUUGAAAGAAGAAUCCUAUAUAUGAGACGUAACUCCGGCACCACCGGCGGUGAAGCCGA